rnacentral:rRNA from 1 species
AUUGAACGCUGGCGGCAGGCCUAACACAUGCAAGUCGAGCGGAUGAAGGGAGCUUGCUCCUGGAUUCAGCGGCGGACGGGUGAGUAAUGCCUAGGAAUCUGCCUGCUAGAGGGGGAUAACGUCCGUAAUCGGGCGCUAAUACCGCAUACGUCCUGAGGGUGAAAGUGGGGGAUCUUCGGACUUCACGCUAUUAGAUGAGCCUAGGUCGGAUUAGCUAGUCGGUGGGGUAAAGGCCUACCAAGGCGACGAUCCGUAACUGGUCUGAGAGGAUGAUCAGUCACACUGGAACUGAGACACGGUCCAGACUCCUACGGGAGGCAGCAGUGGGGAAUAUUGGGCAAUGGGCGAAAGCCUGAUCCAGCAAUGCCGCGUGUGUGAAGAAGGUCUUCGGAUUGUAAAGCACUUUAAGUUGGGAGGAAGAACUGUAAGUUAAUACCUUGCUGUUUUGACGUUACCUACAGAAUAAGCACCGGCUAACUUCGUG